GACGAACGCUGGCGGCGUGCCUAAUACAUGCAAGUAGGACGCACUUGCGAACGGGUGAGUAACGCCUAGGUCACUGCCUAUUAGAGGGGGAUAACUAUUGGAAACGAUAGCUAAUACCGCAUACUAGUAGAUGGAUCUACGUUGUAUUUGCUAGUAGGUAGGGUAAUGGGCUACCUAGGCGAUGGUACAUAGCCGAACUGGGAGGGUGGUUGGCCCACCUGGGACUGGGACACGGGCCAGAACCCUACGGGAGGCAGCAGGAGGGAAACUUCGGCAAUGGGGCGAACCCUGACCGGGCAACGCCGCGUGAGUGAAGAAAGUUUUCGGGUCCGUAAGACCUGUUGUUAAGGAAGCGGUACUUAACCAGAAAGGCACGGCUAACUACGUGCCAGCAGCCGCGGUAAUUC
rnacentral:rRNA from 1 species